rnacentral:rRNA from 1 species
GUGACGCGCAUGAAUGGAUUAACGAGAUUCCCUCUGUCCCUAUCUACUAUCUAGCGAAACCACUGCCAAGGGAACGGGCUUGGAAAAAUCAGCGGGGAAAGAAGACCCUGUUGAGCUUGACUCUAGUCUGGCACUGUAAGGAGACAUGAGAGGUGUAGCAUAAGUGGGAGACGGUAUCCAUCCCGUCGCCGGUGAAAUACCACUACUUUCAUCGUUUCUUUACUUACUUGGUUAGGCGGAGGGCGUACGUCGAGGGUAUUUCGCCCCGGCGUUACGGUCUUCUCGCGCCAAGCGUUCAAGGGUUGCCGGCGGACAGAGGUGCGGGCCGCUCGUCGGCGAGUCGUGUAACCUGGCUUGCCAGGCCACGGCCCGGCUGUGGCUGCGGCACUCUCUGCCACCGACCGGCAAACACUCCCUAGCGUGAUCCGAUCCGAGGACACUGCCAGGCGGGGAGUUUGACUGGGGCGGUACAUCUGUCAAAGAAUAACGCAGGUGUCCUAAGGCCAGCUCAGUGAGGACAGAAACCUCGCGUAGAGCAAAAGGGCAAAUGCUGGCUUGAUCCC